rnacentral:lncRNA from 1 species
GCCACUAGCAGCAAGCAGGAAGCCCAUCACAGCCCCAGAGCGGAAGGCAGUAAUGAAUGCCUUUCCGACACCCUUCCUUGCCUCAAGAGUUGUUCUGGCAUUUGCAUAUGUUGCAAUCUUCAUUCCAAGAAACCCAGAAACAAGUGAGGUGACUGCACCAAGCACAAAGGCGAUGGUGCUGAAGAGAGCAUUAGCAAGGGCAGGCUUGCACAUCUUGCCCUUGCUGUAGUGGCAAGGUUGACUCUUGGUGCUGAACCCCUCAACAGAGCCAAGGAAGAGGAAGAUCAGGACAGCAAAAAUGCCCAUGAAUAGUCCAACAUACUUGUAUUCAGUGAAAAGGAAAGAAGUUGCUCCUGUUAAAACAAAGCAAGGAUAUUUAGAAACACAAGUGUGUAUACAAUUAUACAACAUAAUUAGAGAAUAGCCGUUACAAGAGAAGGCCUAACAAUAAGAAAAAUGAUGACACAAAUAUCAAAAUACUGAAGAUUAAGCAACAUAGCAGUAGAUAUUUACAAAAAAAAAAUGGCAGCAAUUAUCCUAUUUUCUUGUAGAAGCUGUCAGCAUCAAAACAGACAAAGAAAUAAUAGCUAAGUGAAACAAUAAAUGAUGGACUGCAAUCCUUAUCUUCUCAAAAUCCAACGAAACCAACAAAGCUUAAUUCCUAUUUCACAAGGGGAAGCAAAGAAAGAAGUAAUUACGCUGAAGUAACUAAUAGGGUCCACAUACUAAGAGUCAUAAAAAAAAUCUUUCUGUGCCUUCUAUGCUGCUUUCAUGUGGUGCCACAAAGAAAGCAGAACCAGAGCUUCCUCAUCCUAAUCUUAUUAGAAAGAAAUCCUGACUGAAGACAUGGACAGAAGCCAGCCAAUAUCACUGCUAACAUGAACCAGCCAACAAUGCAGCAUCCAGCACAGGACAAACUGAAUUAGCAUGUACCUUCAGACAUGAACUGUGCUCCAAUAAUUACCUUACAUGAAACACUGUUUAGUGGACCACAAGAUCUGUGGUCCAUGUGCAUCGAUUUCUAGGAUUCCUUCCAAGUUCCAAGCAAGGUGGAUGCGGUUGAAAACAAAACUAAUUCCUACCUACUACAAUAAUGUGGACGCACGGAAAGUUCGUUAUCUUCUUAUCCUACAUCAGGCAGCAAGGACCACAGGUGCAGCAACAACGCAUCUGCCACCUGCAGUAACUUAUCCUAUCCCCACAGCAUGGUCACCGCAGAGAUUUUACUGGGACCUCUUAAGAACAGAGCACUACCACUUCUAUAUGAACACCUUCCGCCCCACCACAAAUAUCUCACAAAACAAAAUCUAGUGGGGCAAGCAAAAAAACUAUUUACUGCAGUUAGGACACACUGGACCAAGGAUUAUUAUAACACGUGUUGGGUAAAGCGGGAACAUCAGUAGUUUAUUGUUAGAUCCAGCUUGCAACUAGGAGUAAUAUAACAGUAAAUAUCUAUAACCCAGGUCACAGGCACACGGCUACCAUGAACGCAGGAGACAUAGCAGAAAAAAAAUACCGAGGACGAUGCGACAAACUAACAAACGCUAAACACGCAACACCAGAUGAUCCAAAGCAUAGUUUUAGAGUGAAUUGCCUUAACGAGUAAAAUUCUAUUCCUAUGCCUAAAUAGGGACUCUGUACUGCAGCAAACAGAUCCGCUUCAGAUGCCUCAUAUGAAAAGCAAUUUUUCAGGUUCACCCCGCAAGCAAACAAAAUAACCAGAACAGCAAAAUUACCACAUAAUUCCGAAUAUCAGCUACUAAGCGUAACAUCUAUGAUUAAGCGCCCUCAGAUCCACAAAAUUCAAAAAACACGAGCACGGCCACGGGCGCUCUGCC